ACGAACGCUUGCGGCGUGCUUAACACCUGCAAGUCGAACGGAAAGGCCCUGCUUUUGUGGGGUGCUCGGGUGGCGAACGGGUGAGUAACACGUGAGUAACCUGCCCUUGACUUUGGGAUAACUUCAGGAAACUGGGGCUAAUACCGGAUAGGAGCUCCUGCUGCAUGGUGGGGGUUGGAAAGUUUCGGCGGUUGGGGAUGGACUCGCGGCUUAUCAGCUUGUUGGUGGGGUAGUGGCUUACCAAGGCUUUGACGGGUAGCCGGCCUGAGAGGGUGACCGGCCACAUUGGGACUGAGAUACGGCCCAGACUCCUACGGGAGGCAGCAGUGGGGAAUAUUGCACAAUGGGCGGAAGCCUGAUGCAGCAACGCCGCGUGCGGGAUGACGGCCUUCGGGUUGUAAACCGCUUUCGCCUGUGACGAAGCGUGAGUGACGGUAAUGGGUAAAGAAGCACCGGCUAACUACGUG
rnacentral:rRNA from 1 species